UAACGCUUAAACACUCAGCCAUCUUACCU
rnacentral:tRNA from 1 species